ACGGGUGAGUAACACGUGGAUAAUCUGCCUUAAAGUGGAGGAUAGCCAUUGGAAACGAUGGGUAAUACUGCAUAAUAUUAUUUCUUGGGGACAAGAAUUAAUCAAAGAUUUAUCGCUUUAAGAUGAGUCCGCGCUCUAUCAGCUAGUUGGUGAGGUAAUGGCUCACCAAGGCUACGACGGAUAGCCGGCCUGAAAGGGUGAUCGGCCACAUUGGAACUGAUACACGGUCCAAACUCC
rnacentral:rRNA from 1 species